rnacentral:rRNA from 1 species
GAACUAUAGAGUUUGAUCCUGGCUCAGAUUGAACGCUGGCGGCAUGCCUUACACAUGCAAGUCGAACGGCAGCACGGGAGCAAUCCUGGUGGCGAGUGGCGAACGGGUGAGUAAUAUAUCGGAACGUGCCCAGUCGUGGGGGAUAACGCAGCGAAAGCUGUGCUAAUACCGCAUACGAUCUCUGGAUGAAAGCGGGGGACUCAGCAAUGGGCCUCGCGCGAUUGGAGCGGCCGAUAUCAGAUUAGCUAGUUGGUGGGGUAAAAGCUCACCAAGGCGACGAUCUGUAGCUGGUCUGAGAGGACGACCAGCCACACUGGAACUGAGACACGGUCCAGACUCCUACGGGAGGCAGCAGUGGGGAAUUUUGGACAAUGGGCGCAAGCCUGAUCCAGCAAUGCCGCGUGCAGGAUGAAGGCCUUCGGGUUGUAAACUGCUUUUGUACGGAACGAAAAGGUUCUCUUUAAUAAAGAGGGCUCAUGACGGUACCGUAAGAAUAAGCACCGGCUAACUACGUGCCAGCAGCCGCGGUAAUACGUAGGGUGCGAGCGUUAAUCGGAAUUACUGGGCGUAAAGCGUGCGCAGGCGGUGAUGUAAGACAGAUGUGAAAUCCCCGGGCUCAACCUGGGACCUGCAUUUGUGACUGCAUCGCUAGAGUACGGUAGAGGGGGAUGGAAUUCCGCGUGUAGCAGUGAAAUGCGUAGAUAUGCGGAGGAACACCGAUGGCGAAGGCAAUCCCCUGGACCUGUACUGACGCUCAUGCACGAAAGCGUGGGGAGCAAACAGGAUUAGAUACCCUGGUAGUCCACGCCCUAAACGAUGUCAACUGGUUGUUGGGUCUUUACUGACUCAGUAACGAAGCUAACGCGUGAAGUUGA